UAAUUAAUUGGGUUGGUUUCAGGUCGGGUCAACCUAAACCCAACCCGAACUUAGUUCUGAUUUAUUUUAAAUAUGGGCCAAGCCCAAACUAUCUAAGCCUAAAAGCUAAAACCCUAAAAGGCUAAAACACUUCUCACGCCGUUUUGCCUCUCAUUUGCCUUCUCUUAUUUUUCUCUCUCAUUCUUUUUCUCUCUCCUCUCUCUACUCUUUCUUGUUUUCAAUUCUUUUCCAUUAAAAUUCUGAUUUAAACUCGUUAAUCUUAAGAAAAAUAAGAAUCCGAAAAUCAACCAUGGAAGAAGAAAGAAGGAAUUAAUGAUAAAGACUGCAGUUUUUUGGCAAAAUGGAGAAGCUUAGAUGUAAAUUAUGUUGCACAAAUGUACUUCAUAUAUGAAUUGUAAUUAUAUAAUGUUUACAGGAUGUAUUCAAAUAUUGUGAGUGUUAAUUUGGAUUAGUUUAACAUCAA